AAAGAGAUUGCUACGUGUCAUAAAAAAUAACAUUGUAUCAUGAACUAUGAAAAAAAGCCUUAUUAUGUCUGCUGCAAUACGCUUCCAGCCCUCCAGGUGGCAGCAGGCGUUCUAACCCGCUUCACGGCACCACUAAACGACAGACUCACAAGACCGCGCGUUGCAUGCUGGGAUGUGUUUUGAACCACAAUGGCGACCAGGGAGAACCUAGCGCUGCGAACUUUGACGUUCAUUUACUUACUUUGUUUAGGGACCGCUGCAGGAGCUCUCAAGUGGGAUGAAAACGGCUACGUCUUGUACUGUCCUUGCAUGGGUCGCUUUGGGAACCAGGCAGACCACUUCCUGGGUUCCCUGGCCUUCGCCAAGAUGCUAAACCGAACCCUGGCCGUCCCUCCAUGGAUUGUGUACCGCCACAACACCCCCCCUUACACUAAUGUGCACGUGCCCUACAGGGACUUCUUCCAGCUGGAGGCCUUGGCGGCCUACCAUCGCGUGGUGGCGUUGGAGGACUUCAUGCGGGACUUGGCGGACAAGCACUGGCCGAGAGGACGCAGGACGGCCUACUGCUUUGAGGCGGCUGCCCAGCGGAGCGCCGACAAACGAUCCUGUCCCAUGAAGGAUGGGAACCCGUUCGGUCCAUUCUGGGACUAUGUGGGCGUGGAAUUUGAUGAAUCGGUUCUGUUCAGUGGAAUUUCCUUCAGCAGUCUCCACCAGCAGCAGUGGAUGACAAGGUUCCCCGCCACCGAGCACCCGGUCCUGGCCAUGCCCGGAGCACCGGCCCAGUUCCCGGUGCUGGAGGAUCACGUGGGCCUGCAGCGGUACGUGGUGUGGUCGGACAGGAUGGCGCAGGAGGGCCAGGAGCGCAUCGCCGCCCUCCUGACCCGACCCUAUGUUGGACUUCACCUGAGGAUUGGCAGCGACUGGCAAAAUGCGUGCCAAUUGCUAAAAAGCGGCGACGCGGGCCCCCACUUCAUGGCCUCCCCCCAGUGUGUGGGCUACAGCCGCCAGAGGGCGCUGCCCCUCACCACCACCAUGUGUCUGCCCGACCUGCCUGAGAUCCUGCGGGCUGUCAAGAUGUGGGUGAAGAAGACCUCAGCUCGCUCUGUCUACAUAGCUACUGACUCCGAGUCCCACAGCUGCGAUAUCGACUCACUCUUUCAGGGCAAGGUGAAAGUGGUGAGCCUGCAUCCUGACUGGGCCCAGACGGACCUCUACAUCCUGGCGCAGGCCGACCACUUCAUCGGGAACUGCGUGUCGUCCUUUUCUGCCUUUGUGAAGCGAGAGAGAGACGUCCGUCACCUUCCGUCCUCUUUCUUUGGGAUGGACCAAACCAGGAGCGCCACCCAGACUUCAUCGAACGAGGGAUGGCAGCAGGACACACGACGACUCAGCAAAUCUGAUCUGUAAUCAUUUAUAAUUGUUUCUUUGGGAGAAAGUGAAGGACUAGCUCUCUGCAGGGUCAUGUGACCUCCCUUGGCACACAAAUAGAGUAUUUUUCCACCAGGAAGUUGGGACCAGUUUUAAAUCCCAGGGCAGUGCUGAUGGUUUUACAAUUUUGCAGUAAAGAUGUUUUAAAGCAAAGAAAAUAUCUCAGUAUUUUGCCUUGUCACACAAAAAUGGUCAUUAUAUUCAAUGGAAAAGUCAAAGUUGUAAUAUUUAGAGAAAAAAGUAACUUUACAAGAAUAUAAUACAAAAAGGUACGUGGGGCCAGCUAAUAGCAUCUAGGCCCGCCCGUGUAUGAGCCUUUUUUUCCCAUUCCUUCUCAGGUUGUUCUUUUUGUAAAAACUAGCAGUAGUUGCGCGUCCCGUAUCGCACCGAUGUCCAACCCCCUUCAGUUGGGUCCAUAUCGGUACACAGAAUUAUAAUUUGUUUUUAUUUUUUCAUAUUUGAGUGUUUUGUAUUUUGUCCCUUUUAAUUUGAGAUGUGUAUAUGUAUGCAUAUGUGUCUUUUUCUUCUUUUCUUUCUGCUUUUCCCUUCAGGGGUCGCCACGGCAAAUCAGCCGCCUCCAUCCAACCCUGUCUUUCGCAUGUGUCUUUCUCACACCCGCUACCCUCAUGUCCUCCUUCACUACAUCCAUAAAGCUCCUCUUUGGCCUUCCUGUACGCCUCCUACCCGGCAGAAUCCUUCUACCGAUAUAUUGACUAUCUCUACUCUGGACAUGUCCCAACCAUCUCAGUCCGUCCUCUCUGACUUUAUGUCCAAGGUCUCUAACAUGUAAUGUCUUUCAGAUGAACUUGUUCAUGAUCCUAUCCAUCCCAACGAGAACAUCAGCAUCCUCAUAUCUGCACCGGGGGUGGGGGGGGUGUAGCGGCAAAGGUGUUUGAUGAGCGCAAUGCAUAAUUGUGUCUUUGGAUGCAGGAGGGCGUGGCCUCUGAUGUUUCCCCCUCCAGAUUUACAAAGACACAAUGCAGCUCCCUCCGACCUUCUCUGUACUUCUCUAUGAACAUUCUCAAAGCAAUACAGCAUCUGUAGUACUCUUUUUUUUUUUUGGCAUGAAACCCUACUGCUGCUCCCACAUGGUGACCUCUGCCCUUAGCCUAGCUUCAAGUAGUCUAUGCCAUAACUACCAUCUGGUGCCUUCCUACUCUUCAUCUCUUUUUUCUCACUUCCUCUUUACCAAUGUUUGGUACUUCCAGGUCCACAGCAGAUACCUCUUCUACCCUUUCUUCUUUCUUGUUUUCCUCAUUCAUCGACUUUUGAAUUUUGUUUUUGUCCAUCCUCCCAACCCAUAACCGGCAUCUGUCAGUACACUUCCAUUCCUAUCCUGGACCACUCUAACCUGCCGCACGCCCUUCCCGUGUCCGUCUCUCUGCCUCGCCAACCUGUAGGGAUCCAUCUCUCCCUCCUUACUGUUCAAGCUAGCGUAGGAGUCAUCAUAGACCUCUUGUUUUGGCUUUCCUACCUCUACUUUCACCUUAGCAUUCAUCUCUCUGUACUCCCCCUCUACUCUCUUCAGUCCUCUCCAUGUCCCACUUGUUCUUAGGCUACACGUUCACCUCCCACUACUUUGCAGUCACGAUCUCCUUCAGAUGACAGCGUCUACACAAGAUGUAGUCUACCUGUGGACUCCUACCCCCGCUCUUACAGGUCACGCUAUAUUCUUCUCUCUUCUGGAAGAAAGCAUUCACUACAGCCAUUUCCAUCCUUUUGGCAAAGUCCACCACCAUCUGUCCUUCUGUGUUCCUCUCCUGAAUAGCUAACCUGCCCAUCACCUCUUCAUCAUCUGUACCAACAGGUCCAUUCAAGGUUGCCCCGAUGACAACUCCUUCCCUUCCAGGAAUGCUCUGUAAGACUUCAUCGGCGUCCAGCCAGUUUUUCUCUUUUUCCUCCAACUCCCAUCCCGCUCAUGGGACAUACCCGCUAACAACAUUGAACAGCGCACCUUCAUUUUUCAUCCUCAGACUCAUCACCCUAUCUGACAGUGUUUUUACCUUCCCAAGCAACUCCUCCUACUCCAUUGGUCUUCCAUCUCAACGAUGAUGGAACAAGUUGAACUCCGCCCCUAUAGGCAGUCAGACUAGACAGUUUGUUCCAUCAGAGGUGGCCAGAGGUUACAAACAUUCAUUCAUUUCCGGUUGGUAGAUUGUUGAGUUGAGGGAUUAGCAACCAUUAAAGAUACAAGAAAUCAUUCAGAUUGCCAUGAUGAUGGCUGUCUGUCUUAACCAUAGCGGUCGGAAUUCUUAUAUUUUAGCAUUAGGUGAGUUGAUUUGAAGAAAUGGAGUAUUUUCAAUGAUGUUUUCAUGUCAACAGGUCCUGAUUAACCCGGGAAAUGUUGUUUCACUUGGCAAAGUCCUGAUGUUUGUAUAACUAUGCUUCUGUACUGUCUUUAGCAGUUAAUUUCUUCUCUUCACCUGUGUGCCAACAUAAAUUAUCAGUUGGAUAUUGUAUGUAAGUGUCCAGUUAAAUCUCAUGUGUUGUAAAAGUUUAUUCCUUAAAGGGAAGUGGCCAUUGUGAGCUAAAUUGUUAAAUUUUUUUUCAGUAGGACAUGCCGAUGCACACACUACAAUGAGACACAGCCAGUUGAGUCAGCCAUAAUGUUUUGACAGCAUCAAAGCUUUAUUUGUAUUCAUCACUAUGGCGGCCUGUAGUGGACAAAAGGAAUAACGAUUUUGAUUCCAAAAGGCAAUUCCAUGUCAGCCCAUUGACAGAAAGGUUCAGUUUUAUCUCAUGGAAUGUAAAGUUUGAACAUAUACGAAUACAUAGUCACACAAAGGUUGUAAGUUACACCAAAUGACAAUAAAAUAGUAAAAUAGACUCCUAUAAAGGACACUACAGUCGCAGGGCUACCUAUAGUAUUUGUCAGCCUUUUGUGGUAGAAGGUCUGCAAGGAUGUUAAGACCUUGCCAUUCAAUGUGACGCAACUUUGCAGUUUGGGUUGAUGAAAUUGCUUGUGGCCUGGCGCCCAGCUGCACCGGCCACGCCCCGAGGAUCCCACACGCUCACGGCCCCGCUGCCACCGGCGGCCCACGGAG